rnacentral:tRNA from 1 species
GUCUUCGUGGUGUAAUGGUUAGCACACUCAGCCAGUAUUUAAGAGGUCUAGGUUCGAGUUCUGGUGAGGGCA